rnacentral:rRNA from 1 species
GACGAACCGUGCGAACGUUAUUCGGAAUCACUGGGCUUAAAGGGAGCGUAGGCGGGCUAUCAAGUCUGGGGUGAAAUCCCACGGCUCAACCGUGGAACUGCCUUAGAUACUGACGGCCUCGAGGGAGAUAGGGGCAUGCGGAACUGUAGGUGGAGCGGUGAAAUGCGUUGAUAUCUACAGGAACUCCGGUGGCGAAAGCGGCGUGCUGGAUCUCUUCUGACGCUGAGGCGCGAAAGCUAGGGGAGCAAACGGG